rnacentral:sRNA from 1 species
CAGAAAGUGGCCUUUGACUUUGCUGCCCGAGAGAUGGCUCCAAAUAUGGCAGAGUGGGACCAGAAGGAGCUGUUCCCAGUGGAUGUGAUGCGGAAGGCAGCCCAGCUAGGCUUCGGAGGGGUCUACGUACAAACAGAUGUGGGUGGGUCUGGGCUGUCACGUCUUGAUACCUCUGUCAUUUUUGAAGCCUUGGCUACAGGCUGCACCAGCACCACAGCCUAUAUAAGCAUCCACAACAUGUGUGCCUGGAUGAUUGAUAGCUUCGGAAAUGAGGAACAGAGGCACAAAUUUUGCCCACCACUCUGUACCAUGGAGAAGUUUGCUUCCUACUGCCUCACUGAACCAGGAAGUGGGAGUGAUGCUGCCUCUCUUCUGACCUCCGCUAAGAAACAGGGAGACCAUUACAUCCUCAGUGGCUCCAAGGCCUUCAUCAGUGGUGCUGGUGAGUCAGACAUCUAUGUGGUCAUGUGCCGAACAGGAGGACCAGGCCCCAAGGGCAUCUCAUGCAUAGUUGUUGAGAAGGGGACCCCUGGCCUCAGCUUUGGCAAGAAGGAGAAAAAGGUGGGGUGGAACUCCCAGCCAACACGAGCUGUGAUCUUCGAAGACUGUGCCGUCCCUGUGGCCAACAGAAUUGGGAGCGAGGGGCAGGGCUUCCUCAUUGCCGUGAAAGGACUGAACGGAGGGAGGAUCAAUAUUGCUUCCUGCUCCCUGGGGGCUGCCCACGCCUCUGUCAUCCUCACCCGAGACCACCUCAAUGUCCGGAAGCAGUUUGGAGAGCCUCUGGCCAGUAACCAGUACUUGCAAUUCAAACUGGCUGAUAUGGCAACAAGGCUGGUGGCCGCGCGGCUGAUGAUCCGCAAUGCAGCAGUGGCUCUGCAGGAAGAGAGGAAAGAUGCAGUGGCCUUGUGCUCCAUGGCCAAGCUCUUUGCUACAGAUGAAUGCUUUGCUGCGAGAAACCACCUUUGGAAGGUUCACCGCAGCCCAACUUUAGCACUCUGCCAUGUUUACAUUGUCAGGCUGCAUUGCCACUAGGGGGAACCGUAGCUUUUUAUCAUCGCAGCCAGGGUGGCUGUGGGCAGCUUCUGCCUGGCAGGUAGUAAGGGAGAGGGGUAGAGGGCUUUGAGUCGCCUGUCUGGGGGGAAGUGACAAGUUUAGUAGGUGAACUUCCCUUGUCUCUAACCAUACAGAAUGUGGAGGCCCUCUUUGAGCUUGGCUGUUUGUGGUUCUUUCAUUAGUUUAUGGCGGGCUGCCAGAUCGUGGGCUGGGGUAGGAAGGGAAGCUGCUUGCUCCACAGUCUUCCCAGAGUCCAAGACUAGUCCCUGUCUCCCUGCAGAUCUGCAACCAGGCCUUACAGAUGCACGGGGGCUACGGCUACCUGAAGGAUUACGCUGUUCAGCAGUACGUGCGGGACUCCAGGGUCCACCAGAUUCUAGAAGGUAAAAAUUGCCAGAGGUUAAUCUCUUCCCUUCAGAACGGGGGUGGGAUCGCUGCUUUCCCCACUGUGUCUGUCCCCAUGCCUCCUGGGCCUCAGGGUCCAGUCAAGCCCUGUCUGUCUCGAGGCUUCCUCCUCCCUCCCUCUGUGCAGAGCUGUUCUGGCAGGGGCUUGGUGCACAAAAACAGCUCCAGCCUGGAGUCCAGAGCCUCAGCUUCGUCACCGUGGGUGGGCAUCAGAUCGCUCUGCUACUGCCCUUUUCCUCUGUAGAUUUGCGAGAAGGGUGAACUGAGAUCAUGGAUGAGAAAGCAUGUUGAAACUACAGCCGGGGCUUUUCUCUAAGGUUAUAGAGUACGUGGUUCUCAGGGAUCCAAGAACAGUGAUGUACAAGGCAGAUGUGAGCCAGUAUGGUUAUCAGUAGCUCUAUAUUGAUUAUCAGCCAGAUGGCCUAAAAGAUACCUGAUUCAAUAUUGCUAGUGUAUUUUUCAAUAAAAUAAACCAUCAGUAUAUGAGUAUCUUCUUGGUAGUCACAGACAUUCUGUCUAGGAAACAUGGAAGCCGUUGGGGUUGGGCUCGGAGCCUGGCUGUCUCCACUCUCUACAGCCAGUGUGGAAGUCUUGAAAUGACACGACUCUUGGAAAAGCAGGAGGGGCAGAGGCUUCUUUGAGUGACUUCAGUGAAGCAACGUGAGGCUGCCUUGCUGGAAACAUCAUAUGAUGGGGCUUCCCUGCCCCUUUCACAGCACCCUUCUCAAACCUCAGCCUGUGCUGGAAUCGCCUGGAGGGCAUGGGAACACAGAUUGCGGGCCUCAACCCCAGAGCUUCUGCUCCAGAGGGUCUAGUGUGGGCCUGGGAAUUUGUAUCUGCAACAAGUCUUCAAGUGAGGCUGCCACAGCUUGUCUGAGAACCACACUUUGAGACCCACCACUCUGGUGUUAGUGUCAGAGUCACAGGCUACCACAGGUAGCAAUGAAGUGAUGAGGAUACUGAUCUCUAGAAGCCUGCUUCAGGAGUAGAACCCACACUUGUUCUGGCCUGGUGUUCAGUGCGACUGCAGUCAGUGUUGAGUGGUGCCAUGUGGGCCGCUCUGUUCCAAAUGAAUCAUGGAUUAGACCCAAGGGCUGAGCUCCUCUAGGGCAGGACCUGCACCCUGUGUGUUGGCAGCAGCAUCGGGUCUCGGACUGGGGCAGAAUCCCCAGUGGAACCGGAAGAGCUGGCCUGAUGAGAAAUGUCAGAAGAACACAUACUACUACCUUGUUUUCCUAAUGCCAGAAAGGUGGCCAGUGAAGAUUCACCGUCAAACCAUGAAAGUCCUUUCUUGGAUCCACUUUAUCUUGACUAGUCUGCAUUUUGCUGGUUCACUGGAUCCCUCCUCUAGGGGCCUGGGGACUUUCAUUGAGGCUCUUCCUGAUUCUAGAGCAAAGCUGUGCGAAGGGGAAAUGGGGGAAUGCCCUCCUGUCUGUGUCGUUCUCUGUGCCACAGCUACAGAUGCAGAAGGUUUCUCUGGAUAGCACAUCUCUGAAUGUAAAUCACGAUAAAAUGGAUAUUUGGGAAACUUACUCCUAAGCUGUGAUUUAGGGUAUAUUUCUACUUCUGGACUGCCUCAAUAUCAAGGGCUGAGACUUUUGAAUUUUGAAUAUUCGUUGGGUUUCAUAUUAAGAAGCCUGUGGUCUAGGAAUGGUAUUCAGUGUUUCUCUUCCUGAUAAACACUUUGAAUAUUUUUUUUGUGUUUUUGUUUCCUUUUCUGAAGUUAUUCCUCUUUUUAAAUAUUUUUAAUCACAUUGAUAAAAUCUACCCUUCACCACCUCUGGUUCUACUAAAGUUGAUUUUUAUUUUAAAUGUUUAAUUGUAUUUGAUUAAACACUUAACUGGAUUUUGGAAUAAUAAAACUCUCGUCCAAUUUGGCUUUU